AGUAUUAGGUGUCGAUUAGACUUAAUAGGGAAUUAGAUGUAAAUUCUAAGCUACCCCAGUAACCGUAAAACUGACGAAAUCUUAAAAACCACUGAGCAAUUGGGAAGGUAGGAGAGUAGAAUGAAGUUGAGCCGGGAUACCUGCCAAUAACUUAA
rnacentral:ncRNA from 1 species